UGGGAGGUGCUGUAGGGCCCUACUGCCUAACACUUCCUGACGAGGACAUCCUUGCAAAGAAUGAGAUCGUGGAUCCUAGCAUCGGCCUCCAGAAAAGGAAGGAAUGAUCCAUGUCGGGCAAGGUGUGCACGUCAACCAGGAAGGCGGGCAACAUG